UACGGGAGGCAGCAGUGGGGAAUAUUGGACAAUGGGCGAAAGCCUGAUCCAGCAACGCCGCGUGAGGGAUGACGGCCUUCGGGUUGUAAACCUCUUUCAGCAGGGACGAAGCGAGAGUGACGGUACCUGCAGAAGAAGGACCGGCCAACUACGUGCCAGCAGCCGCGGUAAU
rnacentral:rRNA from 1 species